GAUGAAGAACGUAGCGAAAUGCGAUACGUAAUGUGAAUUGCAGAAUUCAGUGAAUCAUCGAGUCUUUGAACGCACAUUGCGCCCCCUGGUAUUCCGGGGGGCAUGCCUGUCCGAGCGUCAUUGCUGCCCUCAAGCACGGCUUGUGUGUUGGGCCUCCGUCCUCCUCCCGGGGGACGGGCCCGAAAGGCAGCGGCGGCACCGCGUCCGGUCCUCGAGCGUAUGGGGCUUCGUCACCCGCUCUUGUAGGCCCGGCCGGCGCUUGCCGACACAUCAAUCUUUUUUCCAGGUUGACCUCGGAUCAGGUAGGGAUACCCGCUGAACUUAAGCAUAACAAUAAGCGGAGGA
rnacentral:misc_RNA from 1 species